CGGUUUUAAAUCGACAUUAAAGAUCUAUUAAGGCUACAAUGUCGAUUUGCCAAACCUCGUUUAUUCUUCCCCGUUAAUAAAAACCCUGCCUUUCAUAUCUCAAGCAAAUUCUCUCUCCUUUCUAACAAAUUUCCUCUCCCCCAAAACCCUAUCGUCGUGUGCCUCACCAUCUCCGUCAGCCUACCGCUCUCGCCACCAGCUCCUUCAGCUCCCCCAGUGCCGUCCGUCGUUCGUUUUGUUAGAUUAUCCGUUCGUCAGCUCCGCAGUCCGUUCGUCAGAUCCGCCAGCACGUCGUGCGUUCGUUAGCUCCGCUGUCAGUUCCGUCACUCUCGGAACCGAGCUCCGUCAUUUGCUCCACCUUUCACUCCGCUCUGACCUUCUCUCGCUUCACCGUUCUUCCAGCCCGAUCUCAGCUCAGAUCUGUUCCAAUCAUGGAGCUUCACUUAAAUCUGUUCAAGCUCCAAUUUGUUUAACAUCUUCAAGGUCCGAUCCGUUCUAGCAGUUUGUGGUUCACGAUUUUGAUGCAUCAGCCUGCAUUUGUUCACAGAAGAAAAGGUAUUUGAAGAUCAAAACCCUAUUACAGACGGAGCAUAUCCGAAAAAAGUGGUUGUGUGAGUUUCAGACGUACCUGGAACCCAAAAGAUCGGCUCACAAAGAUGAGACCAAAGCUUACUAAAUGCUCGAGAGGAAACUCUUCCUGUGAUGUAGUUGGUAGCCCAUAUUAUGUUGCUCACUAAGUACGAAGUGCUCUGUAACCACUAUGGCAUGAGGUUGAGAAGGAAUUUUUUUGGCGUGGGUAGUCUUCGAUUUGCAGGGUGUUUCAGCGCAUAGGGCUCCGGUUCGAAGGUAUUUUGCGAUUUGAAGUGCUGAUUCAUUAGAUAGCUUAUGGGAUCUCUCAGAUGCUCUGCGUGCGGACAUUUACAAAACUUGAGUAUUUUUAGGAUCUUUUUGGGUUUGAAAGUGCAUGAGAAAUGGAUCAAACUAUGAAGCAUAACUAUGAUGCAUUUUUCAAUUUUUUGUUACGUUCAUUCCUUUCUGCAAAUGCAUUGUACUCAACGAUGUUAGUGAAUGUUAUGAUUGUUUGGUCAAAUUGAUACAAUAAUAUGUGGAUAUGUUUUUUUUA